UUGAACGCUGGCGGCAGGCCUAACACAUGCAAGUCGAGCGGAUGAAGGGAGCUUGCUCCUGGAUUCAGCGGCGGACGGGUGAGUAAUGCCUAGGAAUCUGCCUGGUAGUGGGGGAUAACGUCCGGAAACGGGCGCUAAUACCGCAUACGUCCUGAGGGAGAAAGUGGGGGAUCUUCGGACCUCACGCUAUCAGAUGAGCCUAGGUCGGAUUAGCUAGUUGGUGGGGUAAAGGCCUACCAAGGCGACGAUCCGUAACUGGUCUGAGAGGAUGAUCAGUCACACUGGAACUGAGACACGGUCCAGACUCCUACGGGAGGCAGCAGUGGGGAAUAUUGGACAAUGGGCGAAAGCCUGAUCCAGCCAUGCCGCGUGUGUGAAGAAGGUCUUCGGAUUGUAAAGCACUUUAAGUUGGGAGGAAGGGCAGUAAGUUAAUACCUUGCUGUUUUGACGUUACCAACAGAAUAAGCACCGGCUAACUUCGU
rnacentral:rRNA from 1 species